rnacentral:rRNA from 1 species
UACGUAGGGACCGAGCGUUGUCCGGAUUCAUUGGGCGUAAAGAGCUCGUAUGCGGCUGCUCAAGUCGAAUGUGAAAACUCGAGGCUCAACCUCGAGCCUGCAUUCGAUACUGGGCGGCUAGAGUCUGGUAGGGGGAUCUGGAAUUCCUGGUGUAGCGGUGAAAUGCGCAGAUAUCAGGAAGAAUAUCCGUGGCGAAGGCGGCUCUCUGGUACGGCACUGACGCUGAGACGCGAAAGCGUGGGGAGCGAACAGG